rnacentral:snRNA from 1 species
UUUCUAAACAUUAUUAUUAUGUU